CUUGAACGCUGGCGGCAGGCCUCACACCUGCAAGUCGAGCGAGCGGCGGACGGGUGAGUAAUGUCUGGGUAACUGCCAGAUGGAGGGGGAUAACUACUGGAAACGGUAGCUAAUACCGCAUACUAUCAGAUGUGCCCAGAUGGGAUUAGCUAGUAGGUGGGGUAAUGGAGCACCUAGCCGACGAUCUCUAGCUGGUCUGAGAGGAUGACCAGCCACACGGGGACAGAGACACGGUCCAGACACCUACGAGAGGCAGCAGUGGGUAAUAUUGCACAAUGGGGGCAAGACUGAUGAAGCCAGGCCGCGGGUAUGAAGAAGGCCUUAGGGUUGUAAAGUACUUUCAGCGAGGAGGCGUUACUCGCAGAAGAAGCACGGGCUAACUCCGUGCCAGCAGCCGCGGUAAUAC
rnacentral:rRNA from 1 species